rnacentral:rRNA from 1 species
GACGAACGCUGGCGGCGUGCUUAACACAUGCCAGUCGAACGGAAAGGCCCUGCUUUUGUGGGGUGCUCGAGUGGCGAACGGGUGAGUAACACGUGAGUAACCUGCCCUUGACUUUGGGAUAACUUCAGGCAACUGGGGCUAAUACCGGAUAGGAGCUCCUGCUGCAUUGGGGGGGUUGGAAAGUUUCGGCGGUUGGGGAUGGACUCGCGGCUUAUCAGCUUGUUGGUGGGGUAGUGGCUUACCAAGGCUUUGACGGGUAGCCGGCCUGGGAGGGUGACCGGCCACAUUGGGACUGAGAUACGGCCCAGACUCCUACGGGAGGCAGCAGUGGGGAAUAUUGCACAAUGGGCGGAAGCCUGAUGCAGCAACGCCGCGUGCGGGAUGACGGCCUUCGGGUUGUAAACCGCUUUCGCCUGUGACGAAGCGUGAGUGACGGUAAUGGGUAAAGAAGCACCGGCUAACUACGUG